GCAGUUAAAGCUCGUAGUUGGAUCUCAGGCCGUGGCCGGUGGUCCGCCCGAUACGGGUGUGCACUGCCGAGCCCGGUCUACGUCUGGUCUAACGUCCGUAGUGCCCUUAACCGGGUGCUACGGAAUGCCAGAAGGUUUACUCUGAAAAAAUUAGAGUGCUUAAAGCAAGCCGUUGUGCUUGAAUACUGUUGCAUGGAAUAAUGGAAUAGGACCUCGGAUCUAUUUUGUUGGUUUUCGGAGUCGAGGUAAUGAUUAAGAGGGACAGGCGGGGGCAUUUGUAUUGCGCCGUUAGAGGUGAAAUUCUUGGAUCGGCGCAAGACAAACAACUGCGAAAGCAUUUGCCAAGGAUGUUUACAUUAAUCAAGAACGAAAGUCAGAGGUUCGAAGACGAUCAGAUACCGUCGUAGUUCUGACCAUAAACGAUGCCAACUGGCGAUCCGCCGUAGUCUGGCUUAAAGGACUCGGCGGGCAGCCUCCGGGAAACCUAAGUCUUUGGGUUCUGGGGGAAGUAUGGUAUGCAAGUCUGAAACUUAAAGGAAUUGACGGAAGGGCACCACCAGGAGUGGAGCCUGCGGCUUAAUUUGACUCAACACGGGGAAACUCACGCGGGCAGGACAGCGUAGGGAUUGACCAGAUUGAGAGCUCUUUCUUGAUUCUUUGGGUGGUGGUGCAUGGCCGUUCUUAGUUGGUGGAGUGAUUUGUCUGGUUAAUUCCGUUAACGAGCGAGACUUUAGCCUGCUAACUAGUCACACGGUGAAUAACUAUGUGAACUUCUUAGAGGGACUAUUGUGCAAGAAGCCAAUGGAAGUUUAAGGCAAUAACAGGUCUGUGAUGCCCCUAGACGUGCUCGGCCGCACGCGCGUUACAAUGACUGGCGCAGAAAGUUUUCCUGGCCUGGGAAGGUUCGGGUAAUCUUAUUAAUACCAGUCGUGUUAGGGAUAGUUCUUUGGAAUUUUGGAUCUUGAACGAGGAAUUUCUAGUAAGUGCAAGUCAUCAGCUUGCGUUGAUUAUGUCCCUGCCGUUUGUACACACCGCCCGUCGCUUGUAGUAACGAAUGGUCUGGUGAACCUUCUGGACUGCUCAUUUAUGAGCGGAAAAAUAAGUAAACCCUACCAUUUGGAACAACAAGAAGUCGUAACAAGGUAGCCGUAAGCC
rnacentral:rRNA from 1 species